UAAUAGCUACGUAUACACAUAGACCUAUAGAAUUCUUGAAGAUAAUGAAGCCCUGUAUGUUACAGUGUUUGGUGUUUAUUGGUUUCUUGUGUAAAGGUCAAAAAGUUUAUGAGUGCUUACUCUAUUGAUUACCUACAUAAUUUUACUGAUGAAUCCUUAAAACAAAGUCAAUUUAUUUCUUUCAAGCAGAUCCACAAUAGCAUCCUUCAACAAACACGAUUAUAAAUUAAUGUAGUCGAAUUUUUCGUAAAGAAUCACACAUAUAUCUACAAGGUACGAGACGAGAACAAAAUUGGCCGAAAAGUAUUAAAGUAUUAUGAAAAAUAAGAUUACACGAUUUAUUAGUUUCUAUUCUUCCAUCCGUUCUCAGAGCAUUCAUUUUCCUGUGCAUCUAGCCACUUUUACGAUGAUUAUUAUUAGAAUACUAAAUGAAUCUUAAUGGUUUUAAGCUCGAUGUAAUAAUAAUUGUUAAACUUUGUAAAUUGUAAACAAUGCAUAAAGAGGUUACUGCAACAAUUCAUCCUAAAACAGCUACGAUAAAAUUUACCCAUGUAUUUGUAGUUUGAAAUUUUCUAACAAGAUAUGGACCUACCCGGUUAGUGCAGGUAGCCAAAGUUGUUUAACAUCAUGGUAUUAUUCCAAGAAUAGAGCUUUUGAAGGGUGACCAUGCUUAUAAAAGAAUACAGAAUACCCUUGCCCCUGACAGUUGAAGAAUACAGAAUAGCUCAGCUGUAUAUGAUAGCAAAAAAAAGUAGAAAUGAAAGCAGUGGCGCUGGUAGUGGAGUAGAAAUUUUAAUAAAUGAACCAUAUACUGAUGGACCAGGGGGGCAGGGUCAAUACACCCAAAAAGUCUACCAUGUAGGCAGUCAUUU